rnacentral:rRNA from 1 species
GUACGCAUCAACCGUACAUUACCUGAGUACGUUUUCUGUAUGCAUUAGACUGUAACCAUCUACUGCAACUCAGUCAACACACUAUCCCAAUGUUGGUAUGAGAUACGAGACAUUCAAGCAGUCAUGCUCUUAGAUAUCACAAGAGGGCCGAGGUGCUUCAAGAGUUCGGUAGAUCCAGUAAUUUGCACAUAUCACCAUUAUUAUACGCAUUUCGUCGCGUUUUUAACAGUGCGAGGCCAAAGAGUUCCGUUGCUGAAAGUGUAUUUAUGCGUUAUACGCGAUGACAUUCUAAAACUGAAGCGUUUAUAAAAGCAUAGGUCAGUAUUUCCAAAGUCAAUAAAGACCUUUUCUAUACCAAACCUAUGUAAAGUGCACCAGAGUGUAUGAGAAUGAAUGAACAGAAUGUGCACAUGCCCGGUUGGGGCCAGCUACAAUUCCGCCAUAAAAUUCAUUAAUGAUCCUCUUCCUGUGUAGGGGACCUGCGGAAGGAUCAUUAAUGAAUUUUAUGGCGGAAUUGUAGCUGGCCCCAACCGGGCAUGUGCACAUUCUGUUCAUUCCAUUCUCAUACACCUCUGUGCACUUUACAUAGGUUUGGUAUAGAAAAGGUCUUUAUUGACUUUGGAAAUACUGACCUAUGCUUUUAUAAACGCUUCAGUUUUAGAAUGUCAUCCGCGUAUAACGCAAUAAAUACAACUUUCAGCAACGGAUCUCUUGGCUCUCGCAUCGAUGAAGAACGCAGCGAAAUGCGAUAAGUAAUGUGAAUUGCAGAAUUCAGUGAAUCAUCGAAUCUUUGAACGCAUCUUGCGCCCUUUGGUAUUCCGAAGGGCAUGCCUGUUUGAGUGUCAUGGUAUUCUCAAUACCCCAAAUCUUUGCGGAUAAGGGUGUGUUGGACUUGGAGGUUUUUGCAGGUAAUGAUUGUGUUACCAGCUCCUCUUAAAUGCAUUAGCAGAGAUAAUACUGCUACUCUCCAGUGUGAUAAUUGUCUACACUGUUAGUAGUGCGGUAUAACAAAAUGUCUAUGCUUCUAAUCGUCUUCGGACAACUUUUGACAAUCUGACCUCAAAUCAGGUAGGACAGCCCG